UGCAGUCGAGCGGCACGGAGAGUACUUGCUACUUUGCCGGCGAGCGGCGGACGGGUGAGUAAUGUCUGGGAAACUGCCUGAUGGAGGGGGAUAACUACUGGAAACGGUAGCUAAUACCGCAUAACGUCGCAAGACCAAAGAGGGGGACCUUCGGGCCUCUUGCCAUCAGAUGUGCCCAGAUGGGAUUAGCUAGUAUGUGGGGUAACGGCUCACCUACGCGACGAUCCCUAGCUGGUCUGAGAGGAUGACCAGCCACACUGGAACUGAGACACGGUCCAGACUCCUACGGGAGGCAGCAGUGGGGAAUAUUGCACAAUGGGCGCAAGCCUGAUGCAGCCAUGCCGCGUGUAUGAAGAAGGCCUUCGGGUUGUAAAGUACUUUCAGCGGGGAGGAAGGUGUUGAGGUUAAUAACCUCAGCGAUUGACGUUACCCGCAGAAGAAGCACCGGCUAACUCCGUGCCAGCAGCCGCGGUAAUACAGAGGGUGCAAGCGUUAAUCGGAAUUACUGGGCGUAAAGCGCACGCAGGCGGUCUGUCAAGUCAGAUGUGAAAUCCCCGGGCUCAACCGGGGAACUGCAUUCGAAGCUGGCAAGCUAGAGUCUUGUACAGGGGGGUAGAAUUCCCGGGGGCACCGCCAAAUUGUCAACAUCUUUUGACGGAGUGCACUAC
rnacentral:rRNA from 1 species